UAUCCUGCGAUGCUGAGCUCAAUGGAGACAUCUACCGGCGGAUUUGUCACUCCAGCUGCUGACUGUACCAGUGACAUGAAGAGAAGGGGGAACCAAAUGAUGCUUAUCAGGGCAAAGAUGAUGAAUCCUCCCAUCCCAUAUUUAACCAGCUUCUUCUUCUUCUGCCCUGGAGGGUGGGGGUAUUUCUAGAAAAAAAUGAAACCAACAAAAUCCAAAAAAGGCAAAGAUCCCUCACAGUGUUGUCAAUGUUGUCAAGACAAGACUCCCUCCAGCACUUCAGGACAAAUAUAUUUGCAUAGAUGUCUUCAACACAAAUCCAACUUGAGAGAGACAGAGUGGUGUCUGUCCAAACCCAAUCCAUCACCGCCCUUAACUCUGUCAGGAAGGGAACCAUACGGAACCUUGAGGAGA